UGAACCUGGAAGGGAGGUAGCUGAAAUCUGUCUCAAAGAAUUAUUUUCAACAAAUAGCAUUUAAGCAGGGGCCAAGAUGGAAAAAAGACCAAGAGAACUGUCUAGGCAGUAACUCAACAGGCUGAAGCCAGGAGUAGCAGCCGAUACCCUCCAUCUUCAAAGCCCUGCUAUUUAUGACCACCGAUCGCUCCCUUUCUUAACACCCUAAUUCAGCCACCAAAAUGGACUUCCCAGGGACUGUCUUCCCUUCAGAGGUGGUUGGCACAGAAUAUGGGGGUAAUACAAGUCCUCUGGGCAUGCAGUUAGGGUUGUGGCUUGGAAAGGCUCCCCAAAACAGGGUUUGGAGAACCGUCUUCCUCAUCUUUUCUUUCUUGCUGCCAACAGGCUAAUACUUCUUCAGACCCAGAACCCCCAACUGCUUUAGGGCCCCUGAGCUGCUGAUAGACAACAGUGCUUCACAUCUGCCUCCUUUUCCAGGUCUCAGAAAUUAUGUCCAGCUUGACCAUUCUCUCUACCUCAUUCUGUGUUAAUUUCUUCCCAUAUUAAUUCAAAAGGAGUGGACAAGUAACUGGUGGAACACAGGCAAAGAGGACCCCAAUGAGCUUAGCCUCAGACCCUGGAGUUGGGGUAAAAUCCCCCAUGGCAGCAGAAGAAUUUGGGGGCUUUGCAUACCCUGGAUCCUUUACCUCGUCCUGGGUUCUACUUCCCUAGAAGG